GCUCCGGUGGUGUAGCCCGGUUAAACAUAUCGGCCUUUCGAGCCGAGGAUCGCGGGUUCAAAUCCCGCCCGGAGCA
rnacentral:tRNA from 1 species